UACGAAGGGUGCUAGCGUUGUUCGGAAUUACUGGGCGUAAAGCGCGCGUAGGCGGUCAUUCAAGUCAGAGGUGAAAUCCCUGGGCUCAACCCAGGAAUUGCCUUUGAAACUGUAUGACUGGAGUGUCGGAGGGGAUAGCGGAAUUCCUAAUGUAGAGGUGAAAUUCGUAGAUAUUAGGAGGAACACCGGUGGCGAAGGCGGCUAUCUGGACGACAACUGACGCUGAGGCGCGAAAGCACGGGGAUCAAACAGG
rnacentral:rRNA from 1 species